rnacentral:rRNA from 1 species
UGCAUAUCAAUAAGCGGAGGAAAAGAAACCAACAGGGAUUGCCCUAGUAACGGCGAGUGAAGCGGCAACAGCUCAAAUUUGAAAUCUGGCUUCGGCCCGAAUUGUAAUUUGCAGAGGAAGUCUCGGGCAAGGUGCCUUCUGAGUCCACUGGAACGUGGCGCCAUAGAGGGUGAGAGCCCCGUAUAGUUGGACACCGCGCCUGUGUGAAACUCCUUCUACGAGUCGAGUAGUUUGGGAAUGCUGCUCUAAAUGGGAGGUAAAUUCCUUCUAAAGCUAAAUACUAGUCCGAGACCGAUAGCGCACAAGUAGAGUGAUCGAAAGAUGAAAAGCACUUUGAAAAGAGAGUCAAAUAGUACGUGAAAUUGUUGAAAGGGAAGGAUUUGUGACCAGACUUGCGCCGUGCGGAUCUCCCGGUGUUCUCACCGGUGUACUCCGGGCGGUUCAGGCCAGCAUUAGUUCCCGGCGGGGGAUAAAAGCGGUAGGAACGUAGCUCUCUUUGGGGAGUGUUAUAGCCUGCCGCAGAAUACCCUGUAGGGGACUGAGGCCCGCGUUUUCACGGAUGCUGGCGUAAUGGUUACUAAUCACCCGUCUUGAAACACGGACCU